rnacentral:lncRNA from 1 species
AGAAGACGAUGUCAGUGAGGAAGAGGAUAUUAGCCUUGUCUUUACUGGAAAGAAGAAGCCAUCAAAGUCCAAAAAGGGAGGUAAUUCAUUUGCUGGUUCUGCAUUUGCUGCAAUUGGGGAUGAUGAUGAUGAUGAUGAUGAAGAUUUACUAGACGAAUCAGGAUCAAAACAACAAUCUGAGGAUGAAGAUGAGCCAGUCAUUUCCUUUACAGGGAAGAAGAAAUCAUCCAAAUCUAAUAAGAAAACCAGUGGUAGUAUAUUUUCAGCUGCACAUUUGCUAGAUGAAGAAAACGAGAAAGAAAGUGACGAGGAUGAUGAUGUCCCCAUCACCUUCUCUGGUAAGAAGAAGUCUACCAAGUCAUCAAAGAAGAAAACCAGUCCACCUGAUGUUGCAUUAGCUGGUGGAGGAACAGAUGAAGAUGUUUCAGUUUCAGGGUUGACUGAUGAAGACUCUUCUACAAUAAAGUUUUCUGGUAAAAAAAAGCCAUCCAAGAAGAAAAACAGUAACACAGUGAAUGCAGUUGAUGAACAAGAACAGCCUAGCACCAGCAUUACUAACAAAGAAGCUGAUGUUGUACCAGAAACUUCCAAAAACAAAAAGAAGAAAAAGAAAGGUGGAAGAACAGCUCAGGAAGAAGAUGACCUGGACAGAAUUCUUGCUGAACUUGGUGAAACUUCCGCCCCUGCCUCUGCCCCUCCCCCACCUUCUGCCACUGUAGAACAGCCACAGGAGGAGAAGGCUCAACCUGAGGCAGAACCAGCAGAUGAAGGUGGUGAAAAGGAUACGAAUGAAGAGG